UACAGAGGGUGCGAGCGUUUAAUCGGAAUUAUUGGGCGUAAAGCGCGCGCAGGCGGUCCUUUAAGUCUGAUGUGAAAGCCCUCGGCUCAACCGAGGAGGGUCAUUGGAAACUGGAGGACUUGAGUGCAGAAGAGGAAAGUGGAAUUCCAAGGUGUAGCGGUGAAAUGCGUAGAGAUUUGGAGGAACACCAGUGGCGAAGGCGACUUUCUGGUCUGUAACUGACGCUGAGGCGCGAAAGCGUGGGGAGCAAACAGG
rnacentral:rRNA from 1 species